GACGAACGCUGGCGGCGUGCUUAACACAUGCAAGUCGAACGGAAAGGCCCUGCUUUUGUGGGGUGCUCGAGUGGCGAACGGGUGAGUAACACGUGAGUAACCUGCCCUUGACUUUGGGAUAACUUCAGGAAACUGGUGCUAAUACCGGAUAGGAGCUCCUGCUGCAUGGUGGGGGUUGGAACGUUUAGGCGGUUGGGGAUGGACGUGCGGCUUAUCAGCUUGUUGGUGGGGUAGUGGCUUACCAAGGCUUUGAUGGGUAGCCGGCCUGAGAGGGUGACCGGGCACAAUGGGACUGAGGUACGGCCCAGACUGCUACGGGGGGCAACAGUGGGGAAUAUUGCACAAUGGGCCGGAGCCUGAUGCAGAGACGCCGCGUGCGGGAUGACGGCUUUCGGGGUAUGAACCGCUUUCGCCUGUGACGAAGCGUGAGUGACGGUAAUAGGAGAAGAAGCACCGGCUAACUACGUG
rnacentral:rRNA from 1 species